AUUGAACGCUGGCGGCAUGCCUUACACAUGCAAGUCGAACGGCAGCACGGGAGCAAUCCUGGUGGCGAGUGGCGAACGGGUGGGUAAUACAUCGGAACGUGCCCAGUAGUGGGGGAUAGCCCGGCGAAAGCCGGAUUAAUACCGCAUGAGACCUGAGGGUGAAAGCGGGGGAUCGCAAGACCUCGCGCUAUUGGAGCGGCCGAUGUCAGAUUAGCUAGUUGGUAGGGUAAAGGCCUACCAAGGCAACGAUCUGUAGUUGGUCUGAGAGGACGACCAGCCACACUGGGACUGAGACACGGCCCAGACUCCUACGGGAGGCAGCAGUGGGGAAUUUCGGACAAUGGGCGCAAGCCUGAUCCAGCAAUGCCGCGUGCAGGAAGAAGGCCUUCGGGUUGUAAACUGUUUUUGUCAGGGAAGAAAUCUUCUGGGCUAAUACCCUGGGAGGAUGACGGUACCUGAAGAAUAAGCACCGGCUAACUACGUGCCAGCCGCCGCAGUAAAAC
rnacentral:rRNA from 1 species